rnacentral:rRNA from 1 species
AACGAACGCUGGCGGCAGGGUUUAGGCAUGCAAGUCGAGGGGCAGCACAGAUAGCAAUAUUGGGUGGCGACCGGCAAACGGGUGCGGAACACGUACACAACCUUCCUUUUAGUGUGGGAUAGCCCAGAGAAAUUUGGAUUAAUACCACAUAGUAUAUUGGAGUGGCAUCACUUUGAUAUUAAAGAUUUAUCGCUAAAAGAUGGGUGUGCGUAUGAUUAGGUAGUUGGUAGAGGUAACGGCUCACCAAGCCUUCGAUCAUUAACUGGUGUGCACGCACGAACAGUCACACGGGCACUGAGCAACGGGCCCGACUCCUACGGUAGGCAGCAGUAAGGGAUAUUGGUCAAUGUACGGAAGUCUGAACCAGCCAUGCCGCGUGAAGGAUGACGGCCCUCUGGGUUGUAAACUUCUUUGAUGUGGGACGAAAAAGGGCCAUUUUAGGUCAACUGACGGUACCAUAGGAAUAAGCACCGGCUAACUCCGUGCCAGCAGCCGCAGUAA